rnacentral:rRNA from 1 species
UACGUAGGGUGCGAGCGUUGUCCGGAAUUACUGGGCGUAAAGGGCUCGUAGGUGGCCAACUAAGUCAGACGUGAAAUCCCCCGGCUUAACCGGGGAACUGCGUCUGAUACUGGAUGGCUUGAGUUCGGGAGAGGGAUGCGGAAUUCCAGGUGUAGCGGUGAAAUGCGUAGAUAUCUGGAGGAACACCGGUGGCGAAGGCGGCAUCCUGGACCGAUACUGACGCUGAGGAGCGAAAGCCAGGGGAGCAAACGGG